rnacentral:rRNA from 1 species
GGAGCUUGCUCCUCUGAUGUUAGCGGCGGACGGGUGAGUAACACGUGGGUAACCUACCUAUAAGACUGGGAUAACUCCGGGAAACCGGGGCUAAUACCGGAUAAUACAUGAAACCGCAUGGUUUCAUGAUAAAAGACGGUUUUGCUGUCACUUAUAGAUGGACCCGCGGCGUAUUAGCUAGUUGGUGGGGUAAUGGCUUACCAAGGCAACGAUACGUAGCCGACCUGAGAGGGUGAUCGGCCACACUGGAACUGAGACACGGUCCAGACUCCUACGGGAGGCAGCAGUAGGGAAUCUUCCGCAAUGGGCGAAAGCCUGACGGAGCAACGCCGCGUGAGUGAUGAAGGUCCUAGGAUCGUAAAACUCUGUUAUUAGGGAAGAACAAGGAUGUAAGUAACUGUGCAUCCCUUGACGGUACCUAAUCAGAAAGCCACGGCUAACUACGUGCCAGCAGCCGCGGUAAUACGUAGGUGGCAAGCGUUAUCCGGAAUUAUUGGGCGUAAAGCGCGCGUAGGCGGUUUUUUAAGUCUGAUGUGAAAGCCCACGGCUCAACCGUGGAGGGUCAUUGGAAACUG